rnacentral:rRNA from 1 species
UACAGAGGGUGCGAGCGUUGUUCGGAAUCAUUGGGCGUAAAGCGCUUGUAGGCGGCUUGUUAAGUCGCGUGUGAAAUCCCUUGGCUCAACCAAGGAAGUGCGCGCGAAACUGGCGAGCUCGAGUGCCGGAGAGGGUCGCGGAAUUCCCGGUGUAGAGGUGAAAUGCGUAGAUAUCUGGAGGAACACCGGUGGCGAAGGCGGCGUCCUGGACCAACACUGACACUGAUGAGCGAAAGCCAGGGGAGCAAACGGG